rnacentral:rRNA from 1 species
AUGAUCAUCUUUAUUAGAGCAUUGUCCCCAAAAAAGAAAAAAAAAGAAAGGCCAAAAAAAAGGAAAGGCCGAAGAAAAAAACAAAAAAAAGAAAAAAAAGAAAAAAAAAACAAAAAAACAAAAAAAGGGGCAAUGUUACUAUCUCUUUUUCCACACUCGUGCUUCAAAGUAGCACCAUGUCCUUCAUAUAGCGAGUCUCAUAUAUUGUGCUUCAAAGUAGCACCAUGUUCUUCAUAUAGUGAGUCUCAUAUGUUUUCACUAGUAGGAAUUUUUUAUUAUAGAACUUGGCUUGUAUAUUCCUACGAUGGGCUUCCUCAAAUCCCUAGGUCUUCAUGA